UACGGGGGGAGCAAGCGUUGUUCGGAUUUACUGGGCGUAAAGGGCGCGUAGGCGGCCUGUGCAAGUCAGUUGUGAAAUCUCCGAGCUUAACUCGGAACGGUCAACUGAUACUGCUCGGCUAGAGUGCGGAAGGGGCAACUGGAAUUCUUGGUGUAGCGGUGAAAUGCGUAGAUAUCAAGAGGAACACCUGCGGCGAAGGCGGGUUGCUGGGCCGACACUGACGCUGAGGCGCGAAAGCUAGGGGGGCGAACGGG
rnacentral:rRNA from 1 species